UCCACGUUUCUCUUUGAAAAUUUUCUUUCUCCAUUAUUAGAUCUCCAUUAUGCUUUUAGGGAUUUUUAAUCAGAAGAAUUAGGUUUCUUUGAUUUAGCAUGAUUUGUUCUUAGCGAUCCAAAGGUCGGAUGUGAGGAGUUGUUUGUGGCAUAAAGAACCAGGUAUCACCAUGAGGUGCAUUCACGGACACAUGUAUGGAGUUAAUGAACUCUUUGGGAGAGACCACCAAGUGACAAGAAAUGGAAGAAGAAAUGGAAGCGUUAUUCAGCAGUCAAGAUGGAGAGACGAUAGUGGGGCAAAGUAUAUAUAUCCCAUGGUUCGGCAGUAAUAUUAUUUCACGCAUUGUAACAGACGGAACCAAGUACAAUAUGCAAUGCUUUCGUGAAAUAUUUUGUUUUUCUUCUUACGUGAAUGGAAAGAAUCAUUGGAAAAUAAAUGCAAAGAGUUUUCUUUGGUUUUUUACUCGUA